UGCCGGAGAGGUAAGCGGAAUUCCUAGUGUAGCGGUGAAAUGCGUGGAUAUUAGGAGGAACACCAGUGGCGAAGGCGGCUUACUGGACGGUAACUGACGUUGAGGCUCGAAAGCGUGGGGAGCAAACAGGAUUAGAUACCCUGGUAGUCCACACAGUAAACGAUGAAUACUCGCUGUUUGCGAUAUACAGUAAGCGGCCAAGCGAAAGCAUUAAGUAUUCCACCUGGGGAGUACGCCGGCAACGGUGAAACUCAAAGGAAUUGACGGGGGCCCGCACAAGCGGAGGAACAUGUGGUUUAAUUCGAUGAUACGCGAGGAACCUUACCCGGGCUUAAAUUGCAGUGGAAUGAUGUGGAAACAUGUCAGUGAGCAAUCACCGCUGUGAAGGUGCUGCAUGGUUGUCGUCAGCUCGUGCCGUGAGGUGUCGGCUUAAGUGCCAUAACGAGCGCAACCCUUAUCUUCAGUUACUAACAGGUCAUGCUGAGGACUCUGGAGAGACUGCCGUCGUAAGAUGUGAGGAAGGUGGGGAUGACGUCAAAUCAGCACGGCCCUUACGUCCGGGGCUACACACGUGUUACAAUGGGGGGUACAGAAGGCAGCUAGCGGGUGACCGUAUGCUAAUCCCAAAAUCCUCUCUCAGUUCGGAUCGAAGUCUGCAACCCGACUUCGUAAAGCUGGAUUCGCUAGUAAUCGCGCAUCAGCCACGGCGCGGUGAAUACGUUCCCGGGCCUUGUACACACCGCCCGUCAAGCCAUGGGAGCCGGGGGUACCUGAAGUACGUAACCGCAAGGAUCGUCCUAGGGUAAAACUGGUGACUGGGGCUAAGUCGUAACAAGGUAACC
rnacentral:rRNA from 1 species